rnacentral:rRNA from 1 species
AACGAACGCUGGCGGCAGGCCUAACACAUGCAAGUCGAACGCCGUAGCAAUACGGAGUGGCAGACGGGUGAGUAACGCGUGGGAACAUACCCCUCGGUUCGGAAUAACUCAGGGAAACUUGAGCUAAUACCGGAUACGUCCAAGGUUUUAAUCGACCUUGGAGAAAGAUUUAUCGCCGGAGGAUUGGCCCGCGUCUGAUUAGCUUGUUGGUGAGGUAAUGGCUCACCAAGGCGACGAUCAGUAGCUGGUCUGAGAGGAUGAUCAGCCACAUUGGGACUGAGACACGGCCCAAACUCCUACGGGAGGCAGCAGUAGGGAAUAUUGGUCAAUGGAUGGAAGUCUGAACCAGCCAUGCCGCGUGCAGGAAGAAGGCGUUAUGCG